GACGAACCGUGCGAACGUUGUUCGGAAUCACUGGGCUUAAAGGGCGCGUAGGCGGGCUGUCCAGUCUGGGGUGAAAUCCCGCGGCUCAACCGUGGAACUGCCUCAGAUACUGAUGGCCUCGAGGGAGGUAGGGGCAUGCGGAACUGUAGGUGGAGCGGUGAAAUGCGUUGAUAUCUACAGGAACUCCGGUGGCGAAGGCGGCGUGCUGGACCUCUUCUGACGCUGAGGCGCGAAAGCGUGGGGAGCAAACAGG
rnacentral:rRNA from 1 species